GAAAAACUCUAAGGUAUGGUCUUUACAGAGGGAGCAGGGAAGGCUGAAUCUUUCCCAUGGCAAACUGCCGUGCCGGCAUCACCCCUCAGUGAGCAGGUUUAGUUAUUAAUCUGCCUUUUAGCAUUAACUGGUGUGCAGCAGAAGGGCUGUGUGCAUUGCUCACAUCAUAGUGCCUCUAUCACACAGCACUACUGCUGUCCUCACUUCCAAAGCCUUUUCCCAGGUGUUGCCUGCACCUGGGUUUUCUGGCCCCAAACAUCCUCCAAAACAUAAUGGUGAUGGCUCUUUGGGGGUGGUGUGGGGUCAUGUCCUGUGCCUCUGACCCUGUCCCAGUGUGACACGGAAGGAGCUUCAAGGCCAGGCUAGAUGUGGCUCUGGGCAGCCUGGUCUGGUGGUUGGCGACCCUACACAUAGCAGGGGGGUUGAAACUCGAUGAUCUUUGAGGUCCUUUUCAACCCAGGCCAUUCUAUGAUUCUAUGAUUCUAUGACUCUAUGCCUGAGGGUGGCUUUGCUGCCCCAGGGAAAACAGCCACAAGAUGGAGGCCACUGGGCCCCAGAGAGCCACCCUGCACAGGAUGGAGCCUGGGAUGCUGUGGGGAAACCACGGGUGGAGGAGGGGCUGAGGCUGCCCCUAUGAAAUUAGUGGAGCUGGGCUUUGGCCCAGUGCUGGAGUCUGACUCAUCCAAUUUGCAAACGAACUGCUGAGAACACAUCUUUAAAUCUAAAAGCCUGUUUUUUAAGAGUGUCCUUUCAACACAUCUUGGAUUUUACUGCACCCUAAGCAUUGUCAGCAAAAGGGUUUUUUCUUUCUGCAUCCCAGGUGUGAAGGGAAGGGUAGGGGAGCUGAAGAGCUCCACGGAGACACUGUGGGUGUAUGAAAGCAACCAGCAGGAGAUGAACCUUAGAGGUGAACCUCCCCUUCCCAGCAGAAACCAUGUUCUCUUUCCAGUUUUAUGAGCUUGUUUCUCUCCUUCAGUGUGGGCAAAGCUGAAGUCUAUGGAGACUGGCUGAUUGUAGAAAGCCUAACAUCCCUGGUGUCAGGCAGGCUAUGGGAUUUCAGCUAGCAAGGCUCUAUGUCCCAGACUUUGGUAGUGCCCGAUGUGCUGUAGGGCUGCUGGGUCUGGACCUCAGGUCUCUCAGCUGGGUGACCAUAUCACCCUCAAGCCCUGCAUCCAUACUUCAGCUCUGUGUGGAUACCUGCUGGAAGAAAAGAUUUGGCAAUACGUUUAUUUAUUUAACAGACUUCCUAGAGAGGUGCUCGAUGCUCCAUGCCUGUCAGUGUUCAAAAGGCUAACGCCCUCUCAAUAACAUGCUUUAACCUUUGAUUAGCCCUGAAAUGAUCAGGUAGUUGGACUCGGUGGUCUUUGAAGGUACCUUCCAGCUGAACUAUUCUACUCUACUCUACUCUACUCUACUCUACUCUACUCUACCCUACCUUACCCUACCCUACUCUACCCUACCCUACCCUGCACUACCUUUUGAGUAUGCCCGGUUUCAGACCUUUGGUUACCAACCAGCUGCCUCCCUAGCCAUGAUUCCCGGGGACAACAUGUGCUGCUGUCUCCCCCAGGAGCACCCAUGGCACCGAUUCACCUGCUGCAGUUACGAGCAAGCCCUGCCUUAGCUGCACCUCAUCCUAACACCACUAAAACUCAUGUUGACAACUUGUACAGUGGGACGAGCCGCAGCCUUGAACAAAGCUGGGUGCCACCAGACGGCAUUGGGUAGGCUGGCAGGUGGUACCAGGCUUGGUUUCCCAAGGCAGAAGCUGUUACGCUUCCUGGACAGCAUCUGAUUUGUUUCUCCAGUUGCACGGAGGAAAAAAUAGCCGAGGUUAAUAUUUUACCAGCAGGCAAUAAAGCUGACCUGGUAUUCAGACAUCUACAUGAGCUGACAGGGCUGUCACCUGGCAGCAGGGCUAUGCUGGCUGUCCCUGUGUGCCCCCAACCCGCUGCAGGCUGCAGCCAGGGCAGUGUCCCACACACGAGCUGGUUAGAGGCAUGCACUGGAAUAAUGUCAGUGGCUCCAGUCCUGGAAUAACUUGCUGAGAGGCUGUAACGUGAUCAUGCCUGAUCUCUUCGUGGCCUGAGCUGUUCAUUACCAUCACACCAAGCAUGACUGUAAAUGACCUUCUGUACCCUUGAUUGUAACUUCUGAGUACAGUAAACACCGCCUGGACAUCGCCUCUGCAAAAAUCUCCCCUUUCUUCCCCUGGGGCUCUUGUCAGCUCCAGGAUGACAGGAAGCAUCUGCAUCAGCUCCCAGCAACACUUCAGUGGUGCUUGCAGACAAAUUCGUAUUUCCCAAAGAUGGGAAGAAGAUUCCCAGAAGAAGGAGGUCAACUGCCUCAGACAGAAGGGCCAUGGAAGAGCCCCUUGGACACUCCCCUUGGCGGACAAUAUGCUGAUGCACGUUAGUGACUUGAUAGCGAGCUCUUGCUUUGUGGGGGCUGCUGAAGGAUGUCCUUGGUGCUUCUGUGCAGUUACGGGCUCACUGAGUCUCUCCACCAGCAUGCCACUGUGGGUUUGGCUGCAAGGCUUUCAAAGCCUGAGUGCAGCGAGCAGUGCCCGGGUGGCGUUUCUGAUGGCAUCCAUGAUGUGUCUUCUGGUAGAGGAAUGAAUAGAGCUGCUAACCACUGACCCUUGCAAACCUGCCAGAGGGAAAAAAAACAAUAAAGGAAAGUAGGCAGCAGAGCAGGGCCACACUAUUUCUAGCAACUGAGAGCUCUGAUCAGGAGAUGGACAGGUGAGGAUUUCAUUGCACUGGGAGGCAGGCUGCAGUGUCUUCCAGGCCCGAGCGGUCUGCCUGCUGUGGGCCACCACAGCAUACCCAAUAGUGUGCUAACUGUUGCUGUUUAAUCUCCAGCAUCUUGUUUGACGCCUCGGUGUAAUAAUGAUGGAAAUAAUAAAUGGCGUGCUACAAAGCCGUGUGCGUGGACUCGCUUUGUGCUGACGGCGGUGCCUUGCUCCCGGCGCGGCUCGGUGCCAGCCUGCUUCCAGCUGAGUCAGUUGGAGCAGGCAAAGGCCCAGCUCAACAGCUGGC
rnacentral:lncRNA from 1 species